CGAUAGUGUUUUGAGCUCGUAGAUGCUGUCGGAUUUGAAUAGGAGUUUUGUGAGAAACGAGCUCGAUUUUAUUUUGCCCAAAGUGAUUGCGGUGCUGGCCAGGAUUCAAGAGCAGCGGAUCUUGAUGAAGAGGUAAGGGGUCAUGUUCCUGUAAUCCAGAUCGUAAUCAAGUCCAGGAUGUCACCUGUUUGACGCUAUAUGCAUUAGAUCCUAUCGAUUACAUCUUCAUGCACCAUCGAUGAUUUUAUGAGUAGAGAGGAUAUGUUGGGUUUAAUUUUAUGUCACUGGUUAAUGGAAAUUCUACAUGUAAUAUAAACUUUAAGAAGAGUUGAAAUAAAAUAAUGAUGAAUGAUGUUAAGUUCAUCCCCAUAGUUCAUUUUAGAAAAUUAAGGUGAUUAGUAAAUAGGGUUGGGAAUCGGACAGGGUUUGACAACGUUUUUACCCGACCUGAUCCGUCAAACCGAGUUUUGAGUACCCGGAAACCCGUCAACACAAAUUAAAGACCAGGGUUGGG
rnacentral:lncRNA from 1 species